AUCUGGCACUGUGUCUGGCAUGCGGCGGGUGCUUAGUAAGUAUGGGCUCCCUUUACCUACCCCCUCCGCCCCUACAAGCCUCGGGGUUCACCCUUUAAGACCUUUGCCACAGGGUGUCCACGCGGCCUCCGGGGUCCCCAGGCGCCCGGGCCAGCCGCACUGCCAUACCUGCAUGGAGUCAGCGCUGACGAUCUCACCGCCGAGCCGCUGGCCUAGCUGCAACGCCAGCGUGGAUUUGCCGGUGCCCGUGGCCCCGAGAAUCACUACAAGAGCAUCUCUCUCCAGAACCUCUUCUUGGGGACCCCUCUCUGAAGCCUCUUCUUGGGAGCAGCUUUCUGGAGGAAAACGGGCAGCAUAGUUGUGCUGUUGCUGAUGGAUGGAGAUGUGGAAAUGCUUCAUGCAGGGAUCCAGGGGGUCUGCUCGCACCGUGAUGGUGACCGGCUUCCGAAUACCCAGAGACUGCCUCUUCUCUACUGUCACAACAUCAAUUUCUUCAUUCUCUGUCCGAGAAAAGAGAUCAAGAGAAGAAACACAUCCCAUGAGAAACACAAACAUAGACCCUACAGCUUUAGCUGUCUACGCUGGUGCUUGGGAAGGUCGCCUGCCCCACCUCCUUCCCUGGACUAGAAGGUUAGAUUUGUAAUCAUAGGUCGGCGAAGCUGCAGGAACUUCACAAAGGUACAAGCGACCAUUUCCAAACUACCUGCACCAGAGGCAGAGACUGGGCAGCAGAAUGUCCCAGAUAUGGGGCUCAUAACACCAGAGACCUGGAGACACCUGGACACGCCCUUCUCAUUCACUGGCUUGAAGGUCUCUUAGGUUAACCUAACCAGGAGAGGGGCAAUUGGGAGAAAAGUCUCCUCCUGCUCCACACAUUUUGCAGCCUCCACACAGAAGUCCACCUUAAUGGAUCUCGGCCUCGCAAAGGAAGAGCUCCGUUCUCAGCUUCUUUGCAUAUCAGGAAGCUUGAGCCCCUUUGUCAGGAAGGCUUCCAUUGUGUGGACAAUCGCAUUAUUUCUCCAUUAAUAAACCUGACCAUUCAGCCCUCCUGGCCCCAAA